rnacentral:rRNA from 1 species
CGCGGUAAUACAGAGGGUGCAAGCGUUAAUCGGAAUUACUGGGCGUAAAGCGAGCGUAGGUGGCUUGAUAAGUCAGAUGUGAAAUCCCCGGGCUUAACCUGGGAACUGCAUCUGAAACUGUUAGGCUAGAGUAGGUGGGAGGAAGGUAGAAUUCCAGGUGUAGCGGUGAAAUGCGUAGAGAUCUGGAGGAAUACCGAUGGCGAAGGCAGCCUUCUGGCAUCAUACUGACACUGAGGCUCGAAAGCGUGGGUAGCAAACAGGAUUAGAUACCCUGGUAGUCCACGCCGUAAACGAUGUCUACUAGUCGUUGGGUCCCUUGAGGACUUAGUGACGCAGCUAACGCAAUAAGUAGACCGCCUGGGGAGUACGGCCGCAGGGUUAAAACUCAGAUGAAUUGACGGGGGCCCGCACAAGCGGUGGAGCAUGUGGUUUAAUUCGAUGCAACGCGAAGAACCUUACCUGGUCUUGACAUAUCUAGAAUCCUGCAGAGAUGCGGGAGUGCCUUCGGGAAUUAGAAUACAGGUGCUGCAUGGCUGUCGUCAGCUCGUGUCGUGAGAUGUUGGGUUAAGUCCCGCAACGAGCGCAACCCUUGUCCUUAGUUACCAGCGGGUUAAGCCGGGAACUCUAAGGAUACUGCCAGUGACAAACUGGAGGAAGGCGGGGACGACGUCAAGUCAUCAUGGCCCUUACGACCAGGGCUACACACGUGCUACAAUGGUAGGUACAGAGGGCAGCUACACAGCGAUGUGAUGCGAAUCUCAAAAAGCCUAUCGUAGUCCAGAUUGGAGUCUGCAACUCGACUCCAUGAAGUAGGAAUCGCUAGUAAUCGUGAAUCAGAAUGUCACGGUGAAUACGUUCCCGGGCCUUGCACACACCGCCCGUC